AGAGAGAACCAAAAUUAGUUGAUG
rnacentral:sRNA from 1 species